rnacentral:lncRNA from 1 species
GCCACCUCCAUGGCAACAGAUGCUGUCAAAAGCCUCAGGUUCGCUUGGAGGAUGAGGAGUGAAUUGCCAGGAACCAGCAAGCGAGGCUGAAGAACAGAAAUCUGAAGACGGCAGGCAGCUUCAAUACGUGGGAAAAACAGUGAAAAAGCCUAGCGCCACCAGGAUGGAGUAGGCCGUUAACGUAGAUUUGAAAGGGUAGUUCCCAGGUAAUGGAGAGAAGGGGCGAUGGAGAGAGAAGGCUCAUCUUACUCUGAGGCAUCGAGGGACCUGAACCACCUCUUGCGUGGACGAAUGCUCUCCCUGUAGGAGAAAAAGGCAAUUAACGUGUGUGGCGAAGAGCGAGAAGAAACAGCAACCGUGACAGGAAUCGUUAGCUCUGGCUUCUUUUGUGUGGGUACCGCAAGGUCAGAGCUUGAACAAGGGGAAAACCGGCAUAUGUCUUCGCUAACAAGCAUGACAACCAAGUAGCUGAGUCGAUUCAUGUUGCGAUCCAGAGAAACCCUAGUCUUUGACAGGAUCUGGGAAGUGAGGAUUCUGUUUUCCACGACUGCAAACUACCCUUCUUGUUCCCUACCUCUUCUCGAUGUGUGUGCUGCACUGACGUUGAUCUUGGACUGGCGUCCUCUUUGCAUACGUACGCGUUCUCUUCUGCGUCACAUCUCUCAAAAGGAGGCUCUGCACCAUCUCUGUUUCGAACGGAGGCUGUUAGGGAAAAGAGGAAGUCUUUUGGGUCAUCGAAACGAGAGUGGAGUGGGGAAAGCUGAUAUCCGUGUUCUGCUGAAAGACCCACCAACCCUGUCUUCCUCGUUAAAAAUCCAAAAGAAGCGCUUCAGAGAAGAGCUAGAGAACAGGAAAAGAAGUGUAGGUGCCGUGCGGUGGCGUAGCCACAGCCCCGGGCGCCCGUCUCGGCGAGGAAGCGGCUGGAGAUGGCUUGGUCCGGUCAGCAGUACUUGCUUUCUUGAAGCCCGGAAAACUCAGACGGUGUAAAACAGCAGACGAGAGGUCACACGCAACAGCUGUGGGCGAUACCCUCGGCUGGCAAAAUCUGAUGCAACUCCACUAAUGUCAGUGAGCUCCGCGGUCCUAAACCAGCCGAGGAGGUGGUCUGGUGUUUCUACAGCGUUGUGUAAUGCCAGGGCGCUUGCCCUGGAGCGUGUUAGAAAGCACUCAUCUGCAGAAAGCGUUACAGGGAAGAAACGCCGACGGCGCAGCUGUGACAGCCUGCCUCUGCCGCCCGGGCGCCAGAGUUUCACGGUCUCACUCUUACGUUGGGAGGAAACACUGUCCAGAAAGCGCUAGGCAGAGCAACGCGCUCGCAGAACUGAGCAGCGAGAUGGGCUUUAGAGGGACUCGAGAGUCAGGAGUUGUCUGCGCAGAGCCGACCGACGGGCAGCCGGCAGAGACGCUGAGCGCAACCACAUCCCCUCCCAAGACAGGAAGAGCAGGC